GAUGAACGCUGGCGGCGUGCCUAAUACAUGCAAGUCGAGCGAAUGGAUUAAGAGCUUGCUCUUAUGAAGUUAGCGGCGGACGGGUGAGUAACACGUGGGUAACCUGCCCAUAAGACUGGGAUAACUCCGGGAAACCGGGGCUAAUACCGGAUAACAUUUUGAACCGCAUGGUUCGAAAUUGAAAGGCGGCUUCGGCUGUCACUUAUGGAUGGACCCGCGUCGCAUUAGCUAGUUGGUGAGGUAACGGCCCACCAAGGCAACGAUGCGUAGCCCACCUGAGAGGGGGAGCGGCCACACUGGGACUGAAACACGGCGCAGACUCCGACGGGAGGCAGCAGUAGGGAAUCUUCCGCAAUGGACGAAAGUAUGACGGAGCAAAGCCGCGUGAGUGAUGAAGGCUUUCGGGUCGUAAAACUCUGUUGUUAGGGAAGAACAAGUGCUAGUUGAAUAAGCUGGCACCUUGACGGUACCUAACCAGAAAGCCACGGCUAACUACGUGCCAGCAGCCGCGGUAA
rnacentral:rRNA from 1 species